CACGUAGGGUGCGAGCGUUGUCCGGAAUUAUUGGGCGUAAAGAGCUCGUAGGCGGUGUGUCGCGUCGGCCGUGAAAACCUGUGGCUUAACCAUGGGCUUGCGGUCGAUACGGGCAUCACUGGAGUUCGGCAGGGGAGACUGGAAUUCCCGGUGUAGCGGUGAAAUGUGUAGAGAUCGGGAGGAACACCGGUGGCGAAGGCGGGUCUCUGGGCAAUUCCUGACGCUGAGGCGCGAAAGCGUGGGGAGCAAACGGG
rnacentral:rRNA from 1 species